AUGCUGUGUCCUGCGAGCUCAGUUCCAAACAAACACCGCGGAGAUGAAAUUCCGCCUCUGUGGCGACUUCCGUAUGUGGGCAGACAUUCUACGGCACUGGGCCGACCUAAAGCCGACGUAACAGAGAUGUUUGAUGAGCUGGGACAAAAGAGUAUUAAAUUUAAAGAUAUCCGCCCAUGCGGCCGAUGCUUGUCAGACGUUAUAAAUUCAGGGCCGACGUGUAGUCCUCAGGCCGACGUCGGCCAGAUGUAUGUGUGCUAUCUGGGUAUUAUAUUCGUUUUAUAUCUUGGAAUACAUAUGACGUUGUAAAAUAGGAACUUAUUUUCCACAUCCAUGACUUUUGUGUGAUAAUUAGCCUACUUUGUAGUUAGCUAACACUAGCUAACUAAGUUAGCUAGUGUUAGCUAACUACAUUAAUGUAGGUACUACACUAAUGUAAUGUAACUACACUAAUGUAGGUACUAGUUAGCUAACUACUAUGUAAUGUUAAUGUUAGCUCGCUAACAUUAUUGCAUUUGUUGUGUAGAAAUAAGCAGCCUUCAAUGAUGUCAUUAGUAAGUGUGUGUGUGUGUGUGUGUGUGUGUGUGUGUGUGUGUGUAGCUAGUAAGCUAGCUAACAUUACUGCAUUUGUUGUGUAGAGAUAAGCAGAUUUACUAUGAUAUUUAUAGCUUCCUUGUAAUACAGUUUCUCAAUUGCUAAAACACUAAAACCCAUUGGCUGAACAAAGUUCGCAGUUGCCUGAACUCAUUUAGCUAAUUGUGCAGUCUGUUGUCAAUACCUUAAACCAUUUCACAUGGUAAAACACAAUUUGCAGAUCUCACUUAGACUUUUCAGCAGAACUCUAAACACAUUUUCAUUCUCAAAACACAUUCUGCACUCUAAUGCACAUGUCAUCCAUACUGGUAAACACAAGUGGCAACAAUCAAAUACAAAUAGAGAACACAUGUCAUUGAUUAAACACAACCACUGAAAAUUGAUUUCACAUGUUUCAAAUCAUGUGACACAACCAAUAUAAGCCAGUUCAGAGAGCAAACAGGUUGUUGAAGGUGGGACGGAGAAAGUCUAAGAAUGGAUGGAAGAAACAAUGUGAGAGGACGAGGACGAGUGCGUAUGCGAGGUGGGCGACGAGGAGUAAGAGGAGGAGGAGGGCAAGAAAGAGGAAGAGGUGGACAAAGAGGAAGAUGAAGAGUGGAAAUAUCUGAUGAAAUUCGAGCAACAGUCAUUGACCAUGUUCUUGUCCAUGGACUGACAAUGAGGGAAGCAGGACUUAGAGUGCAACCCAAUUUGAGCUGAUUUUCUGUGUCCACCAUAGUAAGGACAUUCAGAGAAGAGAACAGAAUUGCAAGGCUGCCACAUGCAGGUGGAAGGACAGCUAUAUUCACUCGGGAGCAAGAGCAAAGCAGAGUAUAAUUUCUGAUCAAUUUUGAGCUACUAUGAUAGAACAUGUUUUCAUUCAUCAAAAGACAAUGACAGAAAAAUAUGAAAUUUGUUUUGAGAUUAAAAAUGUACUUCUCCCUGAGAACUAUAUGUUUUGAACAACGUGUUUUCUAUUUUUUGGUGUAUUGUUUACUGACUGCUUGAUAGUGUAUAUCAUUUUGAUCGCUUUGUUUAUGAUUUGAGAGCAGUGUUUGGUUUUGAGCACAGGUAAAUCUGUUUUGAGGCGAAAGUUUCAUUUUGCACGAGGAGUCAGAGGUUUUGUAAAUAGUGCUUGAAGCUGAGGUUUUGUGUUUAAUGUUUUCAGAAAAUGGAGCAAGGUUUCAGAAAUUGUGUUUUAGCAAUUGAGAAAAACUGUAAAAUCUAACCCGUUAGGUAGCCUAUACUAUUAUUGAUUAUUCAAUGAUGUCAUUAGUUGUCAAAAUGUUAAUAAAAAGUGAUAAAUGAAUAUGUCAAACAUGAAGUCAUUCUUUUGUUGACCAAAAUAUAAUACAAAUCAUCAUCUUUAACCCAAAUGAAAGAAAUUGCUUAUCAGUAUUGUUUAUCGCAUUGAUUCUAAUUGGGGUCAUUUUUGACCCCACUUAUGGAAGAGUGUAGGUAUUGGUAGGUCAUGCAUCUAAGGGUUAAUGGAGUAGCCAUUCAAUUUCGUUGUAUUUCAGAUGCAAUGACAAUAAAGGCAUUCAUUCAUUCAUUCAUUCAUUCAUACAUUACUGAGGGUGUGGCUGCUUCAGUGACAGGUCUUCACCACAGUCAGUGAAUCAGAUCUACCUAUUGCUCCUCCAAAGAUCCACCCAAUUCUUCCAGAUUUGGUCACUUCUGGUCCCAAAAUCCAAGACAGCAAUGGCCAAAAUGCCAACCUUGAGGUUUCAAAAUGUGAGUCCACAAAGCAAUGAGUGAUGUCAUGGUAGCUACGUCCAUUAUGUUUAUACAGUGUAUGGUAAACAGCCAGUAUGUAAAGUGCUAUUUAGAAAAGGCUAAGCUCUGACCGGCAGCAAUACAAACAUUUCUUUAUGCUCUGAAUCUUUCUGAAAAUAAUUCAUAAAGCAAACUGUUUUAAAUAUAUUAUCACAUGAUGUACAGAGGGUACACAUGGAUAUCAUCAAGAAAAAGGUUGUUACAAUAGAUAUUUUGUUGCAAUUUAUAUUGUUGUACACCAGUUACUGUCUGGGAAUUAAUAGAACAAAAAUAACAUAAUAAUAAUGUAUAGUUAAGAAAAUCCAUCUCCUGCUGGUCACCCAAACACAAGCUUUUUAAAAAAAAAUUAUUUUCACAGCAUUUUUAGCAACAGUGACAGUAGUGAGAUCAGAGACAGGAAACAGGAGGGUUGGGGAAAUGUGCAUUAAAAUCAACACAACAUUGGAUUGUCUUAGUCUUGAUCAGCACAAAAAACACAGCGAGUUUGUGUGGUAUCUUUUAUUAUUUUGUGCAGUCAAACACAGAUAUCAUACAAACAUAAAAACUUUCAUGUUUGCUGGCUUGACUAUACAGUGACUAAGAUCUUUGCUUUUAAAGAUGAUUCCUCCAUGUGAAUGGAGUACAGUG